rnacentral:rRNA from 1 species
CGCCGCAACGGUAAUUCAAUUUAGUACGAGAGGAACCGUUGAUUCAGAUAAUUGGUUUUUGCGGCUGUCUGACCAGGCAGUGCCGCGACGCUACCAUCUGCCGGAUAAUGGCUGAACGCCUCUAAGUCAGAAUCCGUGCCGGAACGCGGCGAUACUGCCCCGCACGUCGUAGUUGGAUACGAAUAGGCCUCCGGGCCACGCACCUCAGCAGGCUGGCGACGGCGCCCCGGGAGAAACCCUGGGGCGCUGGCUGGCGGAUUGUAAUGUCACCACGCGCGGGGAUGAAUCCUCUGCAGACGACUGAAGUGACCAAGCGGGUCGUGUACGCGGUCGAGUAGCCUAGUUGUUACGAGUCGCUGAGCGUCAGCCCGAC